UAAUACGUAGGGGGCAAGCGUUGUCCGGAAUCAUUGGGCGUAAAGCGCGUGUAGGCGGUUUGAUAAGUCCGCUCUGAAAGUCCGGGGCUCAACCCCGGAAGGCGGGUGGAUACUGUCAGACUAGAGUGCGGAAGAGGCGAGUGGAAUUCCCGGUGUAGCGGUGAAAUGCGCAGAUAUCGGGAGGAACACCAAUUGCGAAGGCAGCUCGCUGGGACGUAACUGACGCUGAGACGCGAAAGCGUGGGGAGCAAACAGGAUUAGAUACCCUGGUAGUCCACGCCGUAAACGAUGGGCACUAGGUGUGGGGGGUGUCGACUCCCUCCGUGCCGAAGCUAACGCAUUAAGUGCCCCGCCUGGGGAGUACGGCCGCAAGGCUA
rnacentral:rRNA from 1 species